CUCUCUAUGAGCACACUGUCGCGCUGAGCUAAAGGAUCCUGUCUAUCCCGCAAUAUCCGCUGAAUUCUGAAAACUCUCCUUAUCAAUCUUGCACCUUCCGCAAUGGGUUGCUCGCGUACAAACGGACAGGACAUGGCUGCGACAGACUUCCCAAAUCCACCUUCGCUUUUAUAGCCGUGGUCUCUCAUCUUGAUUACACUAAGUAAUUUACUAUUACUACUCUAAAAUAUGAAUUACAUCUGAAAUAAUCAAAUACAUGAAAUAGAAUUAUUAAUAGUACAUUUCCCUUUUUUUAGGAAAUGACCUGUAUGUAUCUGUAUGAAAUCAAUAAAAGAAUCAAAUACAUUAUCUUUAGUUACAUUGAUAAUAUUUAUUUAUGGAAAAACAGUGGAGAAAUAUCGCUGUUGCUUUCGUAUAAAUGAAGCGGACAUACCUGAGUGGCCGCGAUCUAAUCCUGUUUACAUAAAGUAAGCCUGCUCCCAAGCAGGUUUACGCUUACGGAUCUGUUGCUAUGACAGCAAGUCCCGGAUGAGCUUCGGAGAACCGAAUGAUCCAAGAUCACGCGAAAUCGUCAACAAUCAAAUCCAGCUAACUUACUUAGCGAGGUACGAAGAACGGACCCCUGGGCCUUACAUGUGAGGUAAACACGACAUCACAACAAUCAGAUGAACAGGCGAUCGACCACGUCAUCGGUCCACAGGGCCACGCCCUUAACAUCUCAUGACGUUGUUACGGGUGCUGUUGGUUUCUCUGUUGUGUGACGUAUGUAUGUAAAUUCACCUGUGCAGGGGCUCGGCUGUGAUUGGUGGACCUAAUGACCGGCCUGAUGUGACUGGUUCCUGCGGUGGCCGUGAGCAACAAAAGGGCGACUGAAGAGCUGCACUGGUUGGGAUGUGUGGCAGACUUCCCAUGCACCUGCCUCUGGUCCAGACGGCGCGGCCGCAGCUACAGUCUUUUAGCAUAAAGUCGGGCAUGUGUGUGAGGUGCGGAGUAAGUAGGGGUGAGCUGCCGAUUAUUUUGAGAUGCCUUCUUUUCUCCUGUGUUUUUUAGACCAGGGAGGUCAGUCUGUGUUAUUUCUUUGUUUUCUUUUCCGUGGAUAGGUUAGAGGGGAACCGAAGCAUAGGUUGAGUUUUGUUUAUUGUUUUGGCCUUGGCUCACCCCGAAGUAUAUACUCCCCCAUUGUGCCAUUAGUGUAAAUAAAUUAUUGUUAAGAAUCUAAUGCUGUGGCUGUGUCUGUUUGGGCGUGGGAAGUCGCGUGACAUCCUGCGCAUCGUUACGGUCAUUACGAGCCGGGUCGUAACAACGUCAUUUGUUUUCGUUUCUAUUUCCUGAUGAGACUUUUAAUGUUAAUUAAUUCUCGAUCACUGAUCAAUCGCUGAUUAGCUGACUAACAGCGGAGGAAACAAUCACAAAUCUUACUGAUGAUCGAGUCAGUCUACCGCUGUAAACAACAACAAACAACCGACAGGAAACAAACACGUUGACAUCAUCGUCUGACCUGCAGCUGUUCUUCGAUCUUUGAUUUUCGAGCUGAAGCUUCACGCGACGUGUAUCACCGACCAGCUCCCAUUCCGACCCUCACCGGAAACUACAUCUCAGAGUACGACACGCCCAUUUCAAAAUAAAAGCCGAAACUUUAUAUUACGUAAAAAAAAAACCGAUUUUUUUUUUUUAACUCAAUAAGAUCAGCUGAUCGGUCAUAAAGGAUCUCACCCCGCUUUGUGGUCUUCAUCA
ensembl:lncRNA